rnacentral:rRNA from 1 species
GAACGCUAGCGAUAGGCUUAACACAUGCAAGUCGAGGGGCAGCAUGGUCUUAGCUUGCUAAGACUGAUGGCGACCGGCGCACGGGUGCGUAACGCGUAUGCAACUUGCCUCACAGAGGGGGAUAACCCGUCGAAAGACGGACUAAUACCGCGUACACUCCAGCUUGGGCAUCCAGGCUAGAGGAAAUGAAAUUCGCUGUGAGAUAGGCAUGCGUCCCAUUAGCUAGUUGGUGAGGUAACGGCUCACCAAGGCGACGAUGGGUAGGGGAACUGAGAGGUUGAACCCCCACACUGGUACUGAGACACGGAUCAGACUCCUACGGGAGGCAGCAGUGAGGAAUAUUGGUCAAUGGGCGAGAGCCUGAACCAGCCAAGUCGCGUGAAGGAUGACUGUCUUAUGGAUUGUAAACUUCUUUUGUAGGGGAAUAAAGAAUGGUACGUGUACCAUAGUGAAUGUACCCUACGAAUAAGCAUCGGCUAACUCCGUGCCAGCAGCCGCGGUAAUACGGAGGGUGCGAGCGUUAUCCGGAUUUAUUGGGUUUAAAGGGUGCGUAGGCGGCCUGUUAAGUCAGCGGUGAAAUCUAGGGGCUUAACUCCUAAAUUGCCAUUGAUACUGGUGGGCUUGAGUGUAGAUGAGGUAGGCGGAAUGCGUGGUGUAGCGGUGGAAUGCAUAGAUAUCACGCAGAACUCCAAUUGCGAAGGCAGCUUACUAAGGUACAACUGACGCUGAAGCACGAAAGCGUGGGUAUCAAACAGGAUUAGAUACCCUGGUAGUCCACGCAGUAAACGAUGAUAACUGGGCGUAUGCGAUAUACAGUAUGCUCCUAAGCGAAAGCGUUAAGUUAUCCACCUGGGGAGUACGCCGGCAACGGU